AAGACAGAGAAGAUGAUUUACAACAAGAAUCUGUUAAACCUCCUUUGGUUGUUAUGUAAGAAGGAAAAGCAAAUGCAGAUAGAGCCAUUAAAGGGAGGAAAGAAGAAGACUUGACAAAAGAUUUGUCAGAAACAAAGAGAAACAAAGGUUAUCAAGAACAGUGAAAAAUCAAUACUUUAGAAGGUGGUGGUGACAGUGGUGGAAGGUUGAAGAAGAAAAGAUGGACACUUUUUGUAAUGGGUGAUGAAAUAAAACGACAAAAAGGCCAAUUUCUUGGAUUAUGGAUUUUGAUAUGUAACGGUGUUUUAAUAUAUCAACAGAGAGAAAAAAAAAAGGUCAGAAGAUAUUGAGAUGGUGCGUGAUCCGCAGAGAAAUUGAGAUUUUGGUUGGGCCACGUCACCCAAAAAAUCCAGGUUUUGGAUAGAUAUUGAUAUAUACUGCCUAUUUUGCUUUGUGUUUUCUUUUUUUUUAUUAUAUGGCUUUUAAGAGAAAUGUAAAAUGAGAAUUUUUUAGAACUAUAUAAAAUGAUAGUUGCUUUCAUUCAUUGAAUGUUUUAUAACAACCAAUGUACCAAGGUGAGAAAGAUGUAGAAGUUUAUAACAAAAUAGGAACCUCUUUUAAAAUAAAUAUGCUGAUAAAGAAAAAAAUCGUAACUACUUAACACUAACACAAAUGUUUCGACUAAGCUAUGGUUCAUAUAUAUAUAUAUAUAUGUAUAUAGGAGUUUGUAGUUUCGUAUUUAAAAUUAUUAAGUAAUAACACAAAUUUGUUUAAUAUUAGCUUAGAUAAUAUCUAUACUAAUAAAGUAAAAUAAACUAUCUUUCGUUAAGGUAUCUAAACAAGUAAUGCACCAAAAAUUUGACACUUAAUCAAAAAAUUAAAUUUAUAAAUUUGACACUUAAUCAAAAAAUUAAAUUUAUAAUUAUCUUUCAUAUUUCUUAUUUUUAAUUAUUUAUCACAACUAAAAGUUUUAAAUUUUUUUCUAAUCAUAUAUAUUUUCAACUCAACCAAAUUUCUAACAUCAGUUUACCAUAAAAUAUUUAAUUUAAUCUAAAUACCGCUGAGCCAUACCCCAACAACGCAACCCUCUCUCCUUCUUUUAAGAUCCUACCUUUCCCAACCUCAAAAGGAACACCUUUGUUUCCAGGAGGCAACGCAACGCCAAUACCGUUACCUCUAGGAUAACGGAAACAAGAAGGACGGUCAUCAAUAGCAGCAGCGGUUGCAACGAUGUUAAAAAGCUCAGCUUCAUCAGAUGGGGCCAUCACUAUCAUGUUAGGAAGACACGCCAUGAACGUCACAUCAAAUGCUCCACAAUGUGUUGGACCAUCAGCUCCCACUAGUCCAGCUCUAUCCAUCGCAAAUCUCACCGGUAACUUCUGCAAAUCCACAUCAUGUACAACCUACAGAGAAAGGCAUCACCACUUCAUACUCUAUUAGCCUUUAAAAAAAAUGAAUGCUGUUGAAACUUGCCUGGUCAUAAGCACGCUGCAUGAAAGAAGAAUAGAUUGCACAGAAAGGCUUAAGGCCUUCACACGCUAAACCAGCAGCAAAAGUAACUGCGUGCUGUUCCGCUAUCCCGACAUCGAAACAUCUUGUAGGAAAGCGACGUUGGAAGAGAUUCAACCCUGUCCCACCUCCCAUGGCUGCAUGAAUCGCAACCACGUCUUUGUCUCCCUCUGCUUCCGCCACUAACGCCUCCGCAAAGUACGUUGUGUAAGACUGAGUCUUGUUAGUACUUUUGAACUGUUUACCAGUUGCAGGAUCAAAUUUCACAACACCUGAAAGACAAAGAAUCAAUAUAAAUGUCACACUUGCUUAAGAUAUAACGAUAAAUAAGUCAAUUUUACCAUGGUAUUUGUCAUCAGCUCUCUCAGCGUAAGGAUAACCACGACCUUUCUCAGUUAUGACAUGGAUAAGAACCGGUCCUGUGGUUCUUGCGCUCUUGACUUCUUUAAGAAUGGCUACCAAAUCAUCUAUGUUGUGUCCAUCAACUGGACCAAUAUAGUAGAGACCGAGUUCUUCAAACAGCGUUGAUCCAGUUCCGCUUAUCAUCCCUCUAGCGUAUUCAUCUACCUUAGCAGCUAACUGAUGCAUUGGCCCACCUAUUUGCUUUGUCACACCCUAUAACACAAACAACAAACAACACAAGCUAAAAUCGUUUAUCCAACUUCAUAGAGAUCAGGACAAUGUACUUGCCUUUGCGACUUCUCUCAACUCUCUGAGAGCUGGGUUUGACUGUAACCGGCUAAGAGCGCUGCUCAACGCUCCAACGGGUGGACUCGGUCCGUCCAAAGUGGCAGUAGGUAACGAGACUUGCUUGUUGUCGUUAAGAAUGACAAUCAUAUCCGAGUCUAGAUAACCAGCGUUGUUCAUGGCUUCAUAAGCUUGCCCUGCAGUCAUAGCACCGUCACCGAUCACAGCAACCACAUUGUUGUUCUUCCCUUUCAAAUCCCUUCCUACUGCCAUUCCUGUAAAGUGGAAAGCCAAAGUUUAUGAUUCAGUUUUGUUUUCUUGUUACCACAAGGACACACCAAAUGGAUUUUUUCUUGGCUUACCUAAGCCAGCAGAUAUUGUGGUUGAGCUAUGUCCUGUCCCAAAGCAAUCAUGUUCGCUCUCUCCACGCUUAGUAAAACCGGAGAGGCCAUUGGUUUGCCUCAUUGUAGGCAUCUUGUCUCUUCUCCCGGUGAGAAUCUUGUGAGGAUAAGACUGAUGACCAACAUCCCAAAGAAUCUUGUCCUGUGGAGUGUUGAAAAUGUAGUGAAGAGCCACAGUGAGCUCCACAACACCGAGGCUUGACCCCAAAUGUCCACCAGUUUUUGAGACGUUGAAGAUCACAUCUGAUCUCAGCUCAUCAGAGAGUUGUUUCAGCUCCUGCCAAUGAGUUAAACCAAAUACAAAUCAACAAGAAGCUAUAGGUCAAAGGCUUGAUGGUGAUUCAGUUUUUUUUCUUUAUUACCUUGAUGGAAAGAUUUUUCAUGUGGAUUGGGUAAUUGAUUGUGUCAAGUAAUGGAGUUGGUGGUCUGUUUGAAUAGUAUUCACCCUUCUCUGCAAGUGAAGCAUUCACUUUUGCCUUUCUGUUGGACUGUACAACGCAACACACAUCACAAAAACAACAACAACAUUAGAACAAAAAGCUGUCAUUUUCUCCAGAACUUUUACUCAUUGGUCCAAUUUCAAUAAACUAACAUACAAAAAGGGUCUGAUUUGUUUGACUUCUGUCAAAAAAUGAAGUAAACCCAUUACUUAAUUCUAGAUUUUACCAAAUGGGUUACCACCAAAUCUCAAAAAGAACACAAAUCUACAGUUGAUCUGAAGUGAAUCUUACAUGACUGGUGUUUGGCCUCAGACAUGGUGAUGGAAGAUCUGCAGAAAAAGAUCGAGAAGAAGACAGAGAAGAUGAUUUACAACAAGAAUCUGUUAAACCUCCUUUGGUUGUUAUGUAAGAAGGAAAAGCAAAUGCAGAUAGAGCCAUUAAAGGGAGGAAAGAAGAAGACUUGACAAAAGAUUUGUCAGAAACAAAGAGAAACAAAGGUUAUCAAGAACAGUGAAAAAUCAAUACUUUAGAAGGUGGUGGUGACAGUGGUGGAAGGUUGAAGAAGAAAAGAUGGACACUUUUUGUAAUGGGUGAUGAAAUAAAACGACAAAAAGGCCAAUUUCUUGGAUUAUGGAUUUUGAUAUGUAACG
rnacentral:lncRNA from 1 species